rnacentral:rRNA from 1 species
GACGAACGCUGGCGGCGUGCCUAAUACAUGCAAGUCGAACGCAGUUGGGACGGGUGAGUAACCCGUGGGUAACCUCCCAUCAGAGGGGAUAACACUUGGAAACAGGUGCUAAACCGAUACUGAUGUAUGGACCCGCGGUGCAUUAGCUAGUUGGUGAGGUAACGGCUCACCAAGGCCACGAUGCAUAGCCGAGCUGAGAGGUUGAGCGGCCACACUGGGACUGAGAGACGGCGCAGACUCCUACGGGAGGCAGGAGUAGGGAAUCUUCGGCAAUGGAAGAAAGUCUGACCGAGCAACGCAGCGUGGGUGAAUAGGGUUUUCGGAUCGUAAAACUCUGUUGUUCGAGAAGGGGUAGCUAACCAGAAAGCCACGGCUAACUACGUGCCAGCAGCCGCGGUAAUUC